AUACGGAGGAUGCGAGCGUUAUCCGGAUUCAUUGGGUUUAAAGGGUGCGCAGGCGGACCGGUAAGUCGUCGGUGAAAUCCACACGCCCAACGUGUGAAGUGCCGAUGAUACUGCCGGACUGGUAUGCAGGGGGCGCGGACGGAAUGUGUCGUGUAGCGGUGAAAUGCAUAGAUAUGACACAGAACGCCGAUCGUGAAGACAGUCCGCGAACCUGUGAUAGACGCUCAAGCACGAAAGCGUGGGGAUCAAACAGGAUUAGAUACCCUGGUAGUCCACGCCGUAAACGAUGAUGACUCGUUGCCGGGCGGCGACGUUCGGCGGCCAAGCGAAAGCGAUAAGUCAUCCACCUGGGGAGUACGAUCGCAAGGUUGAAACUCAAAUGAAUUGGCGGGG
rnacentral:rRNA from 1 species